UACGGAGGGUGCAAGCGUUAUCCGGAUUUACUGGGUUUAAAGGGUGCGUAGGCGGAUAGGUAAGUCAGGGGUGAAAUCUUCGAGCUUAACUCGGAAAUUGCCUUUGAUACUAUCUAUCUUGAAUAUUGUGGAGGUAAGCGGAAUAUGUCAUGUGGCGGUGAAAUGCUUAGAGAUGACAUAGAACACCUAUUGCGAAGGCAGCUUACUACGCAUAUAUUGACGCUGAGGCACGAAAAACGUGGGGAUCAAACAGG
rnacentral:rRNA from 1 species